rnacentral:sRNA from 1 species
UGUUUGCUGUUGAGCCCUUUCAGGUU